rnacentral:rRNA from 1 species
GACGAACGCUGGCGGCGUGCUUAACACAUGCAAGUCGAACGGAAAGGCCUCUUUCGGGGGGUACUCGAGUGGCGAACGGGUGAGUAACACGUGAGUAACCUGCCCUUGACUUUGGGAUAACUUCAGGAAACUGGGGCUAAUACCGGAUAGGAGCUCCUGCUGCAUGGUGGGGGUUGGAAAGUUUCGGCGGUUGGGGAUGGACUCGCGGCUUAUCAGCUUGUUGGUGAGGUAGUGGCUUACCAAGGCUUUGACGGGUAGCCGGCCUGAGAGGGUGACCGGCCACAUUGGGACUGAGAUACGGCCCAGACUCCUACGGGAGGCAGCAGUGGGGAAUAUUGCACAAUGGGUGGAAGCCUGAUGCAGCAACGCCGUGUGCGGGAUGACGGCCUUCGGGUUGUAAACCGCUUUCGCUCAUGACGAAGCUUUGUGUGACGGUAGUGGGUAAAGAAGCACCGGCUAACUACGUG